CCUACGGGAGGCAGCAGUGAGGAAUAUUGGUCAAUGGGCGCGAGCCUGAACCAGCCAAGUCGCGUGAGGGAUGACGGCCCUAUGGUUUGUAAACCUCUUUUAUAAGGGAAUAACGCGCGUGACGUGUCCCGCUUUGCAUGUACCUUAUGAAUAAGGAUCGGCUAACUCCGUGCCAGCAGCCGCGGUAAUACGGAGGAUCCGAGCGUUAUCCGGAUUUAUUGGGUUUAAAGGGUGCGUAGGCGGGCUGUUAAGUCAGCGGUGAAAGUCGGUGGCUCAACCCUAGAAUUGCCGUUGAAACUGGCGGGCUUGAGUGUGUGGGAGGCAGGCGGAAUGCGUGGUGUAGCGGUGAAAUGCAUAGAUAUCACGCAGAACCCCGAUUGCGAAGGCAGCGUGCUGGGGCAUGACUGACGCUGAUGCACGAAAGCGUGGGGAUCGAACAGGAUUAGAUACCCGUGUAGUC
rnacentral:rRNA from 1 species